rnacentral:snoRNA from 1 species
UGCAAUCAAUGAUGAGAUUUAACCCAAAUAGCUGAGGUUAUCUCUGAUUAUUGUUUAUAAUCACCAUCUUUCGGCUGAGAUUGCA